rnacentral:rRNA from 1 species
CAGAGGAUGCAAGCGUUAUCCGGAAUGAUUGGGCGUAAAGCGUCUGUAGGUGGCUUUUUAAGUCCGCCGUCAAAUCCCAGGGCUCAACUCUGGACAGGCGGUGGAAACUACCAAGCUGGAGUACGGUAGGGGCAGAGGGAAUUUCCGGUGGAGCGGUGAAAUGCGUAGAUAUCGUUUGGAACGCCAAUGGUGAAAACAGGUUGCUGGGAGUGUGCUGACGCUGAGACACGAAAGCCAGGGGAGCAAACGGG